GACGAACGCUGGCGGCGUGCCUAACACAUGCAAGUCGAACGAGGUCCAUCCUUCGGGAGAAGACCUAGUGGCGAACGGGUGAGUAACACGUGAAGAACCUGCCCCGAAGACCGGGAUAGCCCUCCGAAAGGAGAGCUAAUACCGGAUACCCCACCGAACCGCAUGGUUUGGUGAGGAAAUGGAUUCCGCUUCGGGAGGGCUUCGCGGCCUAUCAGCUAGUUGGUGGGGUAACGGCCACCAAGGCAUCGGCGGGUAGCUGGUCUGAGAGGACGAUCAGCCACACUGGGACUGAGACACGGCCCAGACUCCUACGGGAGGCAGCAGUGGGGAAUCUUGCGCAAUGGGCGAAAGCCUGACGCAGCAACGCCGCGUGGGGGAUGAAGGCUCUCGGGUUGUAAACCCUUUCAGCAGGGACGAAUCAAGACGGUACCUGCAGAAGAAGCCCGGCUAACUACGUGCCAGCAGCCGCGGU
rnacentral:rRNA from 1 species